CCUACGGGUGGCAGCAGUGAGGAAUAUUGGUCAAUGGACGAGAGUCUGAACCAGCCAAGUAGCGUGAAGGAUGACUGCCCUAUGGGUUGUAAACUUCUUUUAUAUGGGAAUAAAAUGUUCCACGUGUGGGAUUUUGUAUGUACCAUAUGAAUAAGGCUCGGCUAACUCCGUGCCAGCAGCCGCGGUAAUACGGAGGAUCCCAGCGUUAUCCGGGUUUAUUGGGUUUAAAGGGAUCGUAGGUGGAUUGUUAAGUCAGUUGUGAAAGUUUGCGGCUCAACCGUAAAAGUGCAGUUGAAACUGGCAGUCUUGAGUACAGUAGAGGUGGGCGGAAUUCGUGGUGUAGCGGUGAAAUGCUUAGAUAUCACGAAGAACUCCGAUUGCGAAGGCAGUUCACUGGACUGCAACUGACACUGAGGCUCGAAAGUGUGGGUAUCAAACAGGAUUAGAUACCCGAGUAGUC
rnacentral:rRNA from 1 species